rnacentral:misc_RNA from 1 species
AACAAGGUUUCCGUAGGUGAACCUGCGGAAGGAUCAUUAAAUUGAAACAAACCAAAAAACACCACGUGGGCUUGCCCAUGUGCUGCAAGUUGUAAGUCUGCAUAGUUUUGAAAAAAACUGAUGAGCAGCGGCUUGCGUGUUUUGUUUUAACCCUUGUUUUUUGCGUACCUAUUGUUUCCUCGGCGAGUUCGCUCGCCGGCUGGACAAAACUUAUAACCUUUUUUAAUCUUCAAUCAGCGUCUGAAUUAUACAUAAUAAUUACAACUUUCAACAACGGAUCUCUUGGUUCUGGCAUCGAUGAAGAACGCAGCGAAAUGCGAUAAGUAGUGUGAAUUGCAGAAUUCAGUGAAUCAUCGAAUCUUUGAACGCACAUUGCGCCCCUUGGUAUUCCAUGGGGCAUGCCUGUUCGAGCGUCAUUUGUACCCUCAAGCUUUGCUUGGUGUUGGGCGUCUUGUCUUUUCUUUUGUGAUUAGACUCGCCUUAAAGUCAUUGGCAGCCAGUGUUUUUGGUAGUAAGCGCAGCACAUUUUGCGUCUUGGCCCUAAAACACUUGCGUCCAUUAAGCUACUUUCUCACUUUUGACCUCGGAUCAGGUAGGGAUACCCGCUGAACUUAAGCAUAUCAAUAA